CCUACGGGAGGCAGCAGUGGGGAAUAUUGCACAAUGGGCGCAAGCCUGAUGCAGCAACGCCGCGUGAGGGACGAAGGCCUUCGGGUUGUAAACCUCUUUUAGUAGGGAAGAAGCGAAAGUGACGGUACCUGCAGAAAAAGCACCGGCUAACUACGUGCCAGCAGCCGCGGUAAUACGUAGGGUGCAAGCGUUAUCCGGAAUUAUUGGGCGUAAAGAGCUCGUAGGCGGUUUGUCGCGUCUGCUGUGAAAACUGGAGGCUCAACCUCCAGCCUGCAGUGGGUACGGGCAAACUAGAGUGCGGUAGGGGAGAUUGGAAUUCCUGGUGUAGCGGUGGAAUGCGCAGAUAUCAGGAGGAACACCGAUGGCGAAGGCAGAUCUCUGGGCCGUAACUGACGCUGAGGAGCGAGAGCAUGGGGAGCGAACAGGAUUAGAUACCCUGGUAGUCCAUGCCGUAAACGUUGGGAACUAGAUGUGGGGGCCAUUCCACGGCUUCCGUGUCGCNGCACGACAUAGUUACCCGUCCGUCGGGAGGUACGGCCGGCCGACGGAACGUAAACGUAACUUAAAUUAGUAAGUUAGUUACGGCGUUGAGGACGUCGCCGACGGACGACCGACCGACGGGGAGGAGGGAGG
rnacentral:rRNA from 1 species